rnacentral:sRNA from 4 species
GCAAGAGGUUCGACUCGAGCGCAGCGAGAGAACGUUGCGUCAGCAACGGCCCGCAGGGCGAGCCACGCAGUGGCGAGUCAUCCUCUAUCACCGACCA